CAGUCGCCACGGGAAUACGAAGGGGGCUAGCGUUGCUCGGAAUUACUGGGCGUAAAGGGAGCGUAGGCGGAUCUUUAAGUCAGGGGUGAAAUCCCAAGGCUCAACCUUGGAACUGCCUUUGGUACUGGAGAUCUUGAGUCCGGGAGAGGUGAGUGGAACUGCGAGUGUAGAGGUGAAAUUCGUAGAUAUUCGCAAGAACACCAGUGGCGAAGGCGGCUCACUGGCCCGGUACUGACGCUGAGGCGCGAAAGCGUGGGGAGCAAACAGGAUUAGAUACCCCCGUAGUCCCUGUCUCUUAUAC
rnacentral:rRNA from 1 species